rnacentral:rRNA from 1 species
GACGAACGCUGGCGGCGUGCUUAACACAUGCAAGUCGAACGGAAAGGCCUGCAGCUUGCUGCGGGUACUCGAGUGGCGAACGGGUGAGUAACACGUGGGUGAUCUGCCUUGCACUUCGGGAUAAGCUUGGGAAACUGGGUCUAAUACCGGAUAGGACAGCUGUUUAGUGUCAGUUGUGGAAAGUUUUUUCGGUGCAAGAUGAGCUCGCGGCCUAUCAGCUUGUUGGUGGGGUAAUGGCCUACCAAGGCGUCGACGGGUAGCCGGCCUGAGAGGGUGUACGGCCACAUUGGGACUGAGAUACGGCCCAGACUCCUACGGGAGGCAGCAGUGGGGAAUAUUGCACAAUGGGCGGAAGCCUGAUGCAGCGACGCCGCGUGGGGGAUGAAGGCCUUCGGGUUGUAAACUCCUUUCGACAGGGACGAAGCGUAAGUGACGGUACCUGUAUAAGAAGCACCGGCUAACUACGUGCCAGCAGCCGCGGUAAUACGUAGGGUGCGAGCGUUGUCCGGAAUUACUGGGCGUAAAGAGCUCGUAGGUGGUUUGUCGCGUCGUCUGUGAAAUUCCGGGGCUUAACUCCGGGCGUGCAGGCGAUACGGGCUGACUUGAGUGCUGUAGGGGAGACUGGAAUUCCUGGUGUAGCGGUGAAAUGCGCAGAUAUCAGGAGGAACACCGAUGGCGAAGGCAGGUCUCUGGGCAGUAACUGACGCUGAGGAGCGAAAGCAUGGGUAGCGAACAGGAUUAGAUACCCUGGUAGUCCAUGCCGUAAACGGUGGGUGCUAGGUGUAGGGGGCUUCCACGUCUUCUGUGCCGUAGCUAAUGCAUUAAGCGCCCCGCCUGGGGAGUACCGGCCGCAAGGCUA